rnacentral:rRNA from 1 species
AACGAACGCUGGCGGCAUGCCUAACACAUGCAAGUCGAACGAGACCUCCGGGUCUAGUGGCGCACGGGUGCGUAACGCGUGGGAACCUGCCCUUAGGUUCGGAAUAACUCCCCGAAAGGGGUGCUAAUACCGGAUAAUGUCUUCGGACCAAAGAUUUAUCGCCUUUGGAUGGGCCCGCGUUGGAUUAGCUAGUUGGUAGGGUAAAAGCCUACCAAGGCGACGAUCCAUAGCUGGUCUGAGAGGAUGAUCAGCCACACUGGGACUGAGACACGGCCCAGACUCCUACAGGAUGCAGCAGUGGGGAAUAUUGGACAAUGGGCUGAAGCCUGAACCAGCAAUGCCGCGUGAGUGAUGAAGGCCUUAGGGUUGUAAAGCUCUUUUACCCGGGAUGAUAAUGACAGUACCGGGAGAAUAAGCUCCGGCUAACUCCGUG